GUCCACGCCCUAAACGAUGCUCACUAGGUGUUGGGGAAGCGAUUCCUUGGUACCGUAGCUAACGCGUGAAGUGAGCCGCCUGGGGAGUACGGCCGCAAGGUUAAAACUCAAAGGAAUUGACGGGGACCCGCACAAGCGGUGGAUGAUGUGGAUUAAUUCGAUGCAACGCGAACAACCUUACCUACACUUGACAUGUCUGGAAGGCUGCUGAAAGGUGGCUGUGCACGAAAGGGAACCGGAACACAGGUGCUGCAUGGCUGUCGU
rnacentral:rRNA from 1 species